GACGAAGGGGGCUAGCGUUGUUCGGAAUUACUGGCGUAAAGCGCGUGUAGGCUGCUCGGAAAGUCGGAUGUGAAAGCCCUGGGCUCAACCCAGGAAGAGCAUUCGAAACUUCCGAGCUUGAGUUUCGGAGAGGCAGGCGGAAUUCGUCGGUGUAGAGGUGAAAUUCGUAGAUAUCGAGAGGAACACCGGUGGCGAAGGCGGCCGUGCUGGACGAUGACUGACGCUGAGACGCGAAAGCGUGGGGAGCGAACAGG
rnacentral:rRNA from 1 species